UUUCCAGUAACUCCUAUCCCUACCUCCCCGUGGUGCCGCCUGGGAUACGAGUAACCGUAGGGAAGAUCGGGACCUUGGUCAUAUGCUGACAGGGAAGG
rnacentral:ribozyme from 1 species